rnacentral:lncRNA from 1 species
GUCCACUAAGCAAAUCCUUUAAUGAAAUAAAAACACAACAUUACUUUCUGUGAAGUACAGGAAAGUACUAGUUUUUAUUCCUUCAUAAUCAAACUUCACAAACAGCGUGAACUUGUACAAUACCUCAGAGUGAAAAUUACAAAAAAAGUGCUGGUAACAUUUACAAAAAAUCAUCCUUACUUAGCAACAAUCAGUUUAUUCUUCCUCACUUUUUUUAGUCUUUUGUAUUAAGGCUUAAUACUUCUGUAUAAAGUAUAUGCAAGAUAAGUCUUCACAGUUUUUCGAAAAAAGUCACAAUAUUAUGUAACAUAAUGAAGCUUUACGGCUAUUUUUCUUUAUAAUAACAAAUACACAUCACUGGUAAAUAUACGUGAAAUACAGGGCUUACUGUAAAAUGGCAGGUAAUGAUACUGUUUGCUGAAAUAACUUGCUUUCACACAUUGAUAGGAAAGCUAAUAUUUCCAGAUACCAAAAAUCAUAGUUAUCAUGAUUGCUAUCAUAAAUGAUUGAUGAUUUAAAAUGAUCAAUAAAGAACAUUUAGGCUUCAACAAUAUUUCACCCCACUACUCUUGCUGUCUAUUUUCUUAUGGAUAAUUAUGAAUUACAAUAUAUGUGGGUGGACUUUGACUCUUUGGAUGGCUAAACUGAUGUUACAAUUGACAAGGAAAGUUGCAUUUCCCAUCCAUCAGUGUUUUACUUCACAAAUGUUGUAGUCUUUUUUUCACAACUAUUUUUAAUCAAUAAUUUCCUAAUGAACUUUGAACUGACCUUGAAUCUUUACAGAUCAUAUGAGUGUUUUAAAACAAAAAUGACUAAAUCAGUGAAGAAAACUGUAUGUUUUAACAUGGAGGAAGUUUAAUGUCUUAUGUUGGAAUCCUUUGAAAAAUAAAUGUGUCUACAUAACAUAAACCUUUUUUACCUUUUGUUCAGUUAUCUUUUUGAUGAGGACAUUUUACAAUGAUUGCAUGUUUAUGGGAUAUGUUGUAACUCUCCUCUCCUUCCUGUCCCUCAUUUAGGGCUAGUAAGAGCCGUUUCAUUUUCUCCAACACAAUCACAAGAGGAAACUAUGCACCUCAGACUCGGACACUUCUGAUUGGUCAAAUAUGUCAACUCUAAACAACAAUGUGUGCGUGUCCAAGUUCAUAAUGUGCGUCUCAAAGACAAGUUUCCAUUCUGUACCUUUACACAAUUUUUUUUCCCAACAAACUUUUCAAAUAUCACCUUUUACACAGCAUUACCCCUGUGCACAGACAGCUCUCUUAUUUCAGAUACUGUGGCUUGAAGAAUGUGUCAAUUGUUCUGUGUCAUAUUGCUUUCCAUCAACGAAGACCAAAAUAUGUUUAGUGCAAAUCUCUUUUCUGGUUUGAUAAGUGGUAGUUGGCUCUAAAAAAAGACUUUGACAUUAAGGUCACUACAGGGUUCAAUCUAUAUGUUUGAUUGACAUAGUAAGACAACAUAUACCGAGUGGUUUCUUUUGAUUAAUGAAUUGCUAUUAAGUGGUAUCCCUUUUGAUAUUUUAGCAUUUACUUAUUUUGUUAGAAUAGGGAAUUUUGAAAUUGUUAUUGUAUAAUUAUGAUGGCCAGAUUUUAUAAGCCUGACAAAUGCAACAUUUUGGCAGAUAUAUUUCAGCACCUUAAUAUAUUUCAGCACCAUCGAUUAAAUGGUGGAAAUAUCAUUUCCAAUCAGAGAAGUCACUAUUCCUUCUCUAGCAGGUUGGACCCUCUCUGUCUGUCAGGUAAUGGGUGCGAUAAGGCUGUAUUCUGUGCAGUCGGAUAAUGUCUCUCAUAUAAUAGCUCUCAACUUGGAAAUGUUGGAAAACUCACUCCAGUCCAGUGUUUGACAAGUCAAAGUAUGAAACGUCCUUGUAGCCUACCUACAUACAUAAAAAACUCAUCACCUAUUUCAAAACAGCAGUCAUACAUUUCAAACAACGUUGUUUCAUAACAGUAAUAAAAAUACCAACCAACUUGGAGCACACAUAAAAGAAAACAAACUGAAAAAACAACAUUACUGCAGCAUAUAAAUCAGGGUUGCUUAUUUGUGAUGUUAACUACCUUUACUACAACAGCUCCACUUCUGCCAAGUUUAUUAUUCUAAUAUAUAAGGAGUAUUUCAUCAGGAAGAUAAAGAAAUCACAAGCCAAAGCAGGCAACAAAACCUAACAAAAGAUUCUUAAUUAAAUACAUGUUCAUACACACACACACACACACACACACACACACACACACACACACACACACACACACA